rnacentral:rRNA from 1 species
CGGCGGACGGGUGAGUAACACGUGGAUAACCUACCUAUAAGACUGGGAUAACUUCGGGAAACCGGAGCUAAUACCGGAUGAUAUUUUGAACCGCAUGGUUCAAAAGUGAAAGACGGUCUUGCUGUCACUUAUAGAUGGAUCCGCGCUGCAUUAGCUAGUUGGUAAGGUAAUGGCUUACCAAGGCAACGAUGCAUAGCCGACCUGAGAGGGCGAUCGGCCACACUGGAACUGAGACACGGUCCAGACUCCUACGGGAGGCAGCAGUAGGGAAUCUUCCGCAAUGGGCGAAAGCCUGACGGAGCAACGCCGCGUGAGUGAUGAAGGUCUUCGGAUCGUAAAACUCUGUUAUUAGGGAAGAACAUAUGUGUAAGUAACUGUGCACAUCUUGACGGUACCUAAUCAGAAAGCCACGGCUAACUACGUGCCAGCAGCCGCGGUAAUACGUAGGUGGCAAGCGUUAUCCGGAAUUAUUGGGCGUAAAGCGCGCGUAGGCGGUUUUUUAAGUCUGAUGUGAAAGCCCACGGCUCAACCGUGGAGGGUCAUUGGAAACUGGAAAACUUGAGUGCAGAAGAGGAAAGUGGAAUUCCAUGUGUAGCGGUGAAAUGCGCAGAGAUAUGGAGGAACACCAGUGGCGAAGGCGACUUUCUGGUCUGUAACUGACGCUGAUGUGCGAAAGCGUG